rnacentral:lncRNA from 1 species
AAAUAAUAUACAGUUCACACCUAUGAAAUUCUCGAAGUUUAAAAAAGAGAGAGAGAACCACCCCCUUGGGAGUCUCAGUUUCCCCUACUGGGGAUAGGAGAGGUUGGCUGAUACCCAGUCCCUUCAGUCUCCAUUCAAGCAUACAGAAAGGCUGCACUACAGGCCUUGCCUGCCAACCACGGCCUCUCCCAUCAUGCUCAGGCCCCGCCCACCAAGAGUUAGAGCCUAACCUGACCCGCAAGGCCCCGCCCACUAUAGGCUCCCACCUACCACACCCCAGGCUCCUGUCAUCUUGGCCGAGGCUCCGCCCACCACAGCCCAGGCCCCGCCCCGUUCAGUCAGAGACGGGCCCCGCCCCCUUUCCUAACGGUCAACGGUCCGUCCAACCUCUCAGGAGCUGGGCGGCCGC